UACGGAGGGUGCAAGCGUUGUUCGGAAUUACUGGGCGUAAAGCGCGCGUAGGUGGCUUUUUAAGUCAGAUGUGAAAGUCCACGGCUCAACCGUGGAAGUGCAUUUGAAACUGGAAAGCUUGAGUAUUGGAGGGGGUAGUGGAAUUCCCGGUGUAGAGGUGAAAUUCGUAGAUAUCGGGAGGAAUACCGGUGGCGAAGGCGACUACCUGGCCAAAUACUGACACUGAGGUGCGAAAGCGUGGGGAGCAAAC
rnacentral:rRNA from 1 species